GUCUCUGUGGCGCAAUCUGUUAGCGCGUUCGGCUGUUAACUGAAAGGUUGGUGGUUCAAGCCCACCCAGGGACG
rnacentral:tRNA from 2 species